UCUCAGAGAGUUAGCUUUGCUUCAGUGGAACUUCAUGAAAACUCCACAAAGGGAGAAGAGAAUUUCCAUCCCACAUGAAGCUGGCUCAUCACAGUGCCUGACACAUAGGAAGCACCUAAAAAUGCGUGUUGACUGUCUCAUUUGGAUGACUUUGGAAGCCAGAUUGCAGAGGAUUUAGAAAAAGAAUGAAAGAACAUGAAAACACCCAGUCUGGACAUCUUUCUCAUGUAGUUUACCUGUGAAGAAAGGGAAGAUAUUGGACAAUAGAGAGUAGGGAUAGUAAGACUAAAUGAAGUUUGUAUUUUUUUUAAAGAACAAAGAGAUAUGAGCAGGAUACAACACAUUGCAAACAAGGAAUUGGAAAGGAAAAGCAGAGUAAAGGAUGUCCAGUGAAAAAGAACAUAGGCUGCUCAUGUGGUAACAAAGAUGAAUAAAUAACUGAUGGACA